rnacentral:tRNA from 1 species
GCGCGGGUAGCCAAGCGGCAACGGCAACUGGCUGUAAACCAGCCGUCCUUCGGGGCUUCGGGAGUUCGAGUCUCUCCCCGCGCACCA